UAUGCUCAAAAUCUCAGAGACACACUUAUACUAUACUAAGGUCCUAUUACCCCCCUUAACUUAUUUUAUUAAUAAUUUUUUACCCCUUUUUUAGCUUACGUGGCACUAUCUUGUGGGCCCAACGAUGGUUGACUUUUUUUCUGAACUAAUGCCACUUAGGCUAAAAAGGGGUAGAAAAUUACAUAUAAAAUAAGUUCAGGGGGGUAAUAGGACCUUAGUAUAGUAUAAGUGUGUCUCUGGAAUUUCGGGCAUAGG
rnacentral:pre_miRNA from 1 species